rnacentral:rRNA from 1 species
GACGAACGCUGGCGGCGUGCUUAACACAUGCAAGUCGAACGGUAAGGCCCUUCGGGGUACACGAGUGGCGAACGGGUGAGUAACACGUGGGUGAUCUGCCCUGCACUUCGGGAUAAGCCUGGGAAACUGGGUCUAAUACCGGAUAGGACUCCUGGCUUCAUGGGUGGUGGUGGAAAGCUUUUGCGGUGUGGGAUGGGCCCGCGGCCUUUCAGCUUGUUGGUGGGGUGAUGGCCUACCAAGGCGACGACGGGUAGCCGGCCUGAGAGGGUGACCGGCAACACUGGGACUGAGCUACGGCCCAGACUCCUACGGGAGGCAGCAGUGGGGAAUAUUGCACAAUGGGCGCAAGCCUGAUGCAGCGACGCCGCGUGAGGGAUGACGGCCUUCGGGUUGUAAACCUCUUACAGCACCGACGAAGCGCAAGUGACGGUAGGUGCAGAAGAAGGACCGGCCAACUACGUGCCAGCAGCCGCGGUAA